AUUGAACGCUGGCGGCAUGCCUUACACAUGCCAGUCGAACGGCAGCGGGCCCUUCGGGGUGCCGGCGAGUGGCGAACGGGUGAGUAAUGCAUCGGAACGUACCCGGGAGAGGGGGAUAACCGGCCGAAAGGCUGGCUAAUACCGCAUGAACUCGGAAGAGCAAAGCGGGGGACCUUCGGGCCUCGCGCUCUCGGAGCGGCCGAUGUCCGAUUAGGCUAGUUGGUGGGGUAAAGGCCCACCAAGGCGACGAUCGGUAGCGGGUCUGAGAGGACGAUCCGCCACACGGGGACUGAGACACGGCCCAGACUCCUACGGGAGGCAGCAGUGGGGAAUCUUGGACAAUGGGCGCAAGCCUGAUCCAGCAAUGCCGCGUGGGUGAAGAAGGCCUUCGGGUUGUAAAGCCCUUUCGGCGGGGAAGAAAUCGGUCAGGCGAAUAGUCUGGCCGGAUGACGGUACCCGCAGAAGAAGCACCGGCUAACUACGUG
rnacentral:rRNA from 1 species